rnacentral:pre_miRNA from 1 species
UCUUCAUUUCACGUACUCUCUCACCGGUCAGUGUGACGAGAGAGUGUGUGAAAUUGAGAGA